rnacentral:rRNA from 1 species
UGGGGAAUAUUGGACAAUGGGCGCAAGCCUGAUCCAGCCAUGCCGCGUGAGGGAGGAAGGCUUUUGGGUUGUAAACCUCUUUUCUUAGGGAAGAAGUUCUGACGGUACCUAAGGAAUCAGCAUCGGCUAACUCCGUGCCAGCAGCCGCGGUAAUACGGAGGAUGCAAGCGUUAUCCGGAAUUAUUGGGCGUAAAGCGUCCGCAGGUGGCUCUUCAAGUCUGCUGUCAAAGACCAGAGCUCAACUCUGGGCAGGCGGUGGAAACUGGGGAGCUAGAGUACGGUAGGGGUAGAGGGAAUUCCCAGUGUAGCGGUGAAAUGCGUAGAGAUUGGGAAGAACACCAGUGGCGAAGGCGCUCUACUGGACCGAAACUGACACUCAGGGACGAAAGCUAGGGGAGCGAAAGGGAUUAGAUACCCCCGUAGUCC